GAGUUUGAUCCUGGCUCAGGAUGAACGCUGGCGGCGUGCCUAACACAUGCAAGUCGAACGAUGAAACCGCCCUCGGGCGGACAUGAAGUGGCGAACGGGUGAGUAACACGUGACCGACCUGCCCCCCGCCCAGGGACAGCCCCCCGAAAGGGGGAUUAAUACCUGGUACUCCGGAAGCGGCGCAUGCCGCCCCCGGGAAAGCUCAGGCGGCGGGGGAUGGGGUCGCGGCCCAUCAGGUAGACGGCGGGGCAACGGCCCACCGUGCCGACGACGGGUAGCCGGGUUGAGAGACCGACCGGCCACAUUGGGACUGAGAUACGGCCCAGACUCCUACGGGAGGCAGCAGUGGGGAAUUUUGCGCAAUGGGGGCAACCCUGACGCAGCAACGCCGCGUGCGGGACGAAGGUUUUCGGAUCGUAAAGCUCUGUUGUAAGAGAAGAACGGGUGUGAGAGUGGAAAGUUCACACUGUGACGGUAUCUUACCAGAAAGGGACGGCUAACUACGUGCCAGCCGCCGCGGUAAUUC
rnacentral:rRNA from 1 species